rnacentral:SRP_RNA from 1 species
UAUCGGUCCCCUCGCAACGGUAAACUGUGAACCCCGUCAGACCUGGAAGGGAGCAGCGGCAGCAGUCGACCCGUGUGCCGGGGUGUGGUGGGUAUGG